GCUGGCGUAGCUCAACUGGUAGAGCACCUGACUUGUAAUCAGGAGGUCGCGGGUUCGAGUCCCACCGCCAGCU
rnacentral:tRNA from 4 species